rnacentral:rRNA from 1 species
AUUGAACGCUGGCGGCAGGCCUAACACGUGCAAGUCGAGCGGAUGAAGGGAGCUUGCUCCUGGAUUCAGCGGCGGACGGGUGAGUAAUGCCUAGGAAUCUGCCUGGUAGCGGGGGAUAACGUCCGGAAACGGGCGCUAAUACCGCAUACGUCCAGAGGGAGAAAGUGGGGGAUCUUCGGACCUUACGCUAUCAGAUGAGCCUAGGUCGGAUUAGCUAGUUGGUGGGGUAAAGGCCUACCAAGGCGACGAUCCGUAACUGGUCUGAGAGGAUGAUCAGUCACACUGGAACUGAGACACGGUCCAGACUCCUACGGGAGGCAGCAGUGGGGAAUAUUGGACAAUGGGCGAAAGCCUGAUCCAGCCAUGCCGCGUGUGUGAAGAAGGUCUUCGGAUUGUAAAGCACUUUAAGUUGGGAGGAAGGGCAGUAAGUUAAUACCUUGCUGUUUUGACGUUACCAACAGAAUAAGCACCGGCUAACUUCGUG